GGCAACCCAGGUCCAAUUGAAGCAGCUGGAAGAUUGGAGCUCACCAACCAGGAGAGACGCACAACGAGCUUGGCGUUUGAGCGGAAGGCUUGUCCCUCUCUGGUUGCUGUUGGAGUUGCCGGCGAGUGCAAGUGAUGCUGAGUGAGGCUUGAGAGGAGAGGAGAGGAGAGGAGAGGAAGGGAAGGGAAGGGAAGCUGCCGACGAGGCCGACACCGCUCCCGUCGCCAUGGCAGAGACAACCACCCCACUGAGAUGCUUCCGCGACCACCACUUCAAAGAAAAAUUUAAAGACGAAAAUGCGGUGACAGUAACUUCGGUGGAGCAGAUAGCAGUAGAAUUGAAUGUCCAAGAGGCGUAUGAAUCCUUCAGAAUUGAUUGGCGCAUGCCACAGCCCAUCCUCCC